rnacentral:rRNA from 1 species
AACGAACGCUGGCGGCAGGCCUAACACAUGCAAGUCGAACGCCCUAGCAAUAGGGAGUGGCAGACGGGUGAGUAACGCGUGGGAACCUUCCCUGUGGUGCGGAAUAACUCGCCGAAAGGCGUGCUAAUACCGCAUAAGCCCGCAAGGGGAAAGAUUUAUCGCCAUAGGAUGGGCCCGCGUAGGAUUAGCUAGUUGGUGAGGUAAUGGCUCACCAAGGCGACGAUCCUUAGCNGGUUUGAGAGAAUGACCAGCCACACUGGGACUGAGACACGGCCCAGACUCCUACGGGAGGCAGCAGUGGGAAU